GACAGGGGUGCCAAGCGUUAGGCGGAAUCACUGGGCUUAAAGCGUGUGUAGGCGGGCUUGUAAGUGUCUUGUGAAAUCCCACGGCUUAACCGUGGAAUGGCUGGGCAUACUGCAAGUCUUGAGCUGCUUAGGGGUCGGUGGAACAAAUGGUGGAGCGGUGAAAUGCGUAGAUAUCAUUUGGAACGCCAACGGUGAAAACAGCCGACUGGGAGCAUGCUGACGCUGAGACACGAAAGCCAGGGGAGCGAACGGG
rnacentral:rRNA from 1 species